GCAGAGUUGAUUCGUCCUCUGUCGCGGCAACUGCUGUCAUAGCUCCGUACACUGUCAAUACUUUUGACAGAUGGCGGAGC
rnacentral:ncRNA from 1 species